UACGUAGGGUGCAAGCGUUAAUCGGAAUUACUGGGCGUAAAGCGUGCGCAGGCGGCUUUGCAAGUCAGAUGUGAAAUCCCCGGGCCUAACCUGGGAACUGCAUUUGUGACUGCAUGGCUAGAGUUUGUCAGAGGGGGGUGGAAUUCCACGUGUAGCAGUGAAAUGCGUAGAUAUGUGGAGGAACACCGAUGGCGAAGGCAGCCCCCUGGGAUGUGACUGACGCUCAUGUACGAAAGCGUGGGGAGCAAACAGG
rnacentral:rRNA from 1 species